rnacentral:rRNA from 1 species
GACGAACGCUGGCGGCGUGCUUAACACAUGCAAGUCGAACGGAAAGGCCCUGCUUUUGUGGGGUGCUCGAGUGGCGAACGGGUGAGUAACACGUGAGUAACCUGCCCUUGACUUUGGGAUAACUUCAGGAAACUGGGGCUAUUACCGGGUAGAAGCUCUUGCAGCACGGUGGGGGUUGGAAAGUUUCGGCGUUGGGGGAUGGUCUCGCGGCUUACCAGCUUGUUGGUGGGGUAGUGGCUUACCAAGCUUUUGACGGGUAGCCGGCCUGAGAGGGUGACCGGCGACAUUGGGACUGAGAUACGGCCCAGACUCCUACGGGAGGCAGCAGUGGGGAAUAUUGCACAAUGGGCGGAAGCCUGAUGCAGCAACGCCGCGUGCGGGAUGACGGCCUUCGGGUUGUAAACCGCUUUCGCCUGUGACGAAGCGUGAGUGACGGUAAUGGGUAAAGAAGCACCGGCUAACUACGUG